rnacentral:rRNA from 1 species
UAUGUGAUCGUCUCUCGCAUAUCAAUAAGCGGAGGAAAAGAAACUAACAAGGAUUCCCCUAGUAACGGCGAGUGAAGCGGGAAGAGCUCAAAUUUGAAAUCUUAAAGGGUUUCCCUUUACGAAUUGUAGUUUAAAGAAGUGUUUUCUGUUGAGGUUUUGGUAAAAGUUCUUUGGAAUAGGACAUCAUAGAGGGUGAGAAUCCCGUAUUUGACCUUUACUUUCAACUUUGUGAUACACUUUCAAAGAGUCGGGUUGUUUGGGAAUGCAGUCCAAAAUGGGUGGUAAAUUUCAUCUAAAGCUAAAUAUUGGCGAGAGACCGAUAGCGAACAAGUACCGUGAGGGAAAGAUGAAAAGAACUUUGAAAAGAGAGUUAAACAGUACGUGAAAUUGUCAAAAGGGAAGCGUUUGACACCAGUGUUGUUUUUCUGAAAAUCAAUUAAAGAACUGUUUAUGCUAAGCUGUUUAGACUUUAUCAGCUAACUGUUUAGUUUUGAGCUUUUCUUUAAUGCACUUUUCAGUUAACAAGUCAACAUCAAUUUCUUUUGCUGUAAAAAAGCUUGAGGAAGGUGGCUUGAGAUUCGUCUUAAGUGUUUAUAGCCUCUUGCCUAUGCAGUCGGAGAGAUUGAGGUCUGCAGCGUAGAUCCUUCGGGGCUAAAUGCAUUUGUGCUAAGUUAUAGCAUUUUAUAGACAACUUGUUGACUAUGAUUUGUCUUGUAGCUUACUCGCUUAUGUUAUUUUACCUACGCUUAGGAUGUUGAGUAGCGACAUACGCAC